GUCGAGCAGGACAACCCUUGCCGUCCACGAAGGGAGCGACUUGGCCGGGACAAGGCAAGAGGGAACGGAUUUCCAGGAGAACCAUCCGCGGAGUGCCCCAAGCACUGAGCAGCAAACUCCCGAUUAACUUUCCGGAUUUAUUUAUGCUACUGCAGCCAAUUCUUGAAAAGCCUGUUCCUAGAGCUGAAAGAAACAUCUACACUAAGGAACUAGUGAAGGAGAGUAAGCACUCAAGCCCGAAUGUGUAAGACAUAUAGAAGAGGACAACACAGAAGGAAGCCAUACCCAGGAGCCAGAGAAGA